UGCGCAGGCGGCUCCUUAAGUCAGAUGUGAAAGCCCGGGCUUAACCUGGGAACUGCGUUUGAAACUGGGGAGCUGGAGUGUAGAAGAGGGGGGUGGAAUUCCAGGUGUAGCAGUGAAAUGCGUAGAGAUCUGGAGGAACACCGAUGGCGAAGGCAGCCCCCUGGGCUAACACUGACGCUCAUGCACGAAAGCGUGGGAGCAAACA
rnacentral:rRNA from 1 species